rnacentral:tRNA from 1 species
GGGAAGUAGCUCAGUUGGGAGAGCACUUGACUGGCAGUCAAGAGGUCGAGGGUUCGAUCCCCUUCUUCUCC